rnacentral:rRNA from 1 species
UACGUAGGGGGGCGAGCGUUGUCCGGAAUCAUUGGGCGUAAAGCGCACGUAGGCGGCUAGAUAAGUCGGGUGUGAAAGCCCUGGGCUCAACCCAGGAAGUGCAUUCGAAACUGUCUAGCUUGAAUCUCGGAGGGGGUCAGAGAAUUCCCGGUGUAGAGGUGAAAUUCGUAGAUAUCGGGAGGAAUACCAGUGGCGAAGGCGCUGACCUGGACGAAGAUUGACGCUGAGGUGCGAAAGCGCGGGGGAGCAAACAGG